CGGCUACACCCAAAAUUAUAUCUUAAUCCAACAUCGAGGUCGCAAUCUUUUUUAUCGAUAUGAACUCUCCAAAAAAAUUACGCUGUUAUCCCUAAAGUAACUUAAAUUUUUAAUCAUUAUUAAUGGAUCAAUAAUUCAUAAAUUAAUGGUUUUAAAAAUUAAAAGUUUUUUAAAUUUUAAUAUCACCCCAAUAAAAUAUUUUAAUUUAUUAUAAUAAAAAUAAUCUUUAUAAUUAAAAUAAACAAAAUAUAAAGAUUUAUAGGGUCUUCUCGUCUUUUAAAUUUAUUUUAGCUUUUUGACUAAAAAAUAAAAUUCUAUAAAAAAUUUAAAUGAAACAGUUAAUAUUUCGUCCAACCAUUCAUUCCAGCCUUCAAUUAAAAGACUAAUGAUUAUGCUACCUUUGCACAGUUAGAAUACUGCGGCCAUUUAAAAUUUUCAGUGGGCAGGUUAGACUUUAAAUUUAAUUCAAAAAGAC
rnacentral:rRNA from 1 species